GAAAUAACUCCAAUUCUUCAGUAAUAAAGAAACAAGAUGGAAGUUAAAGGUUAAAAGCAGACGAAGUUCGAACGUGUUCUACAGUCUCUGUGCCAGUUUGUGGUAAUAUAAAAUGAAUAUAUCAAUGGAUGUUAUGGAAGAAGGAUGUGGGAGAUAUUUCCAUAAUUAUGGUAGAUGUGUUGAAAAAUUCCCACAAACAUGGCAAAUAGACUGUCUUCAACAAAAAUUGAAACUUAAUAAAUGUGCUGACUCUAAUCCAUUAGUUGUAGAAGUUAAGAGGAAAUGUGCUAAUGAGUUUCAACAUUAUGAUAAAUGUGCACAUAGAAACCAAGAUAAUUUAGACAAAUGUAUAGAACAGUUUCAUGCCUUUGAUAUCUGUGCUGAGAAGAUAGCC